UGGGGAAUAUUGCACAAUGGGGGAAACCCGUGAUGCAGCGACGCCGCGUGAGCGAAGAAGUAUUUCGGUAUGUAAAGCUCUAUCAGCAGGGAAGAAAAAAUGACGGUACCUGACUAAGAAGCACCGGCUAACUACGUGCC
rnacentral:rRNA from 1 species